GGGGAUGAUCGGUUUCGACAUCGCCUGUGAAACGACGAGAAGCGGGCCGAGGAUGCAGGGUUAUCUCGUGAACGCCCCCUGCAAAAAAAUAACUGCCAAUAAGAAGCAGUCCGACUUCGCCCUCGCUGCGUAAGCGAGCCCGAUAGUCCGUCGGUCCGGGUGGGUUCCCGCCCCGGUCACCGGCGUCAUCUAGGGAACUCGCUGCACGUCGUCGCCUGAGCGACGCGCGGGACUUUUUUCAGGCUGGGCCUGUCGACUUGGGUGCCUGUGGCAAAGGUCGGGGCCGAGCAGAACGCUUGCACAGGCUGCGCCCGGAGAAGGCGUCGAAUCUCAGCGAUGGACGGGGGUUCAAUUCCCCCCAUCUCCACGA
rnacentral:tmRNA from 1 species